rnacentral:rRNA from 1 species
CACGUAGGGUGCGAGCGUUGUCCGGAAUUAUUGGGCGUAAAGAGCUCGUAGGCGGUGUGUCGCGUCGGCCGUGAAAAACCUGCAGCUUAACUGUGGGCUUGCGGUCGAUACGGGCAUCACUGGAGUUCGGCAGGGGAGACUGGAAUUCCUGGUGUAGCGGUGAAAUGCGCAGAUAUCAGGGAGGGAACACCGGUGGGCGAAGGCGGGUCUCUGGGCCGAUACUGACGC